rnacentral:sRNA from 1 species
UGCUAAAAACUCUCCACACUAGGGACUGC